AUACUUAGCUGGCAGGGGAGAAAUGAUGAUCAUGAAGGUUGUGCCCCCAGGAUGAGGCUAUCCUAUUGCACUCUGGAUGUGUUGACACCUGCGAAGCCCCCAAAAUUGGGACACUCGACUGCAAAACUUGUGGUAGUGGGGGACUGCUUUGGCACUUUCCCCUG